UUCUUGAACUACAUUUCCGUUACAGUAACACAGCGACUGCAUCAAAGAGCAGCUUUAUAAAUAAAUUGUUAUUCUGUGGCCACUGAUCGGGUUCUGCUGGCUGACAACGAGACGCAGGCAGCCUAGAAGGCUCAUGGAUAGGAUGGGAUCAUCGUUCCUGUCCUUAAUUGGAAAAUACCCUAUUUGAUGUUGAAAACAAAGCACAGAGUGGAAACGCCAGUCAGCUCCUAUGUUGGUGAAAGAAGAUGAAAGAGCAUGAUUUGGGAAAGGACUACCUGGUACCUGGGCCUGUGUACCGGGCCGUGCCGAGCAGAGACACUACUUUACCAGGCACAGAGGUCACCCCAUACCAGCUGGAGCUCGCCAAGAUCCAGGAUGCUUUGGAGACGGCAGCAAGGGCAGAGGGCGGUUUGUCCCUGGAGGGUGGCGCUCCCUACAUGAAAGAGCUGGAGGAGGAAGCAGUGCGGAGCAAAUACCUACACAGCGUCGGCGUCCUCAAACCUAUCCGCUCCACCAGCAAGCAUGAGCACCCAGUGGACAACGCGGGCCUCUUCUCCUUCAUGACCUUCAACUGGCUGACCCCGUUGGCCGUGCACGCCCACCGCAAAGGCCAGCUACUGCUGGAGGACGUGUGGUCCGUGUCCCAGUUUGAGAGCUGCGAGGUUAACCAUCGCAGGUUGGCCGGGCUGUGGGAGGAGGAGCGCAGGGUGAAAGGGGACGAGGCCUCCCUGUGCGGUGUGGUCUGGGCCUUCUGUCGGACGCGCCUGCUUCUCUCCAUCCUCUGCCUCAUGGUCACCCAGCUAGCCGGCUUCAGUGGCCCAGCCUUUGUGGUGAAGCGGCUGUUGGAGUACACAGAGCAGGCGGAGCCCGACCUGCCCUACGGCCUGCUGCUGGUCGUGGGGCUGCUAUGCACCGAGCUGGUCCGCUCCUGGUCACUGGCGCUCACCUGGGCCCUCAACUACCGCACAGGCACCCGCCUGCGGGGAGCCAUCCUCACCAUGGCCUUCCACAAGAUCCUGCGGCUACGCAGCAUCCGUGACAAAUCCAUGGGACAGUUGAUCAACAUGUGUUCUAACGACGGCCAGCGGAUGUUUGAGGCGGCGGCUGUGGGCAGUCUGCUGGCAGGCGGGCCUCUUAUUGCUGUGCUGGGGAUGGGCUUCAACCUGGCUAUCCUGGGGCCCACCUCCUUACUGGGCUCUGCAGUCUUUAUCCUCUUCUACCCUGCUAUGAUGUUCAGUUCGAGGCUGACUGCCUACUUCAGGAGGAAGGGCGUGGCCGUGACGGACCGUCGGGUCCAGAAGAUGAACGAGAUCCUCAACUACAUCAAGUUCAUCAAGAUGUAUGCCUGGGUCAAGGCCUUCUCCCAGGAUGUGCGCAGGAUUCGAGAGGAGGAGCGCAUCAUCCUAGAGAGGACUGGCUACUUCCAGAGCAUCACAGUGGGCGUGGCUCCCAUCGUCGUGGUGAUCGCCAGCGUUGCCACGUUCUCCACUCACAUGUUGCUGGGCUACGACCUCACCGCCGCUCAGGCAUUUACAGUGGUGACUGUUUUCAACGCCAUGACCUUUGCCUUGAAGGUCACCCCUUUCUCUGUCAAGUCCCUGUCAGAAGCAUCAGUAGCCAUGGAGAGGUUCAAGAGCCUGUUCCUGAUGGCGGAGGUGGAGAUGAUCCGGGACAAGCCCCUGAACCCCCAGGUUGCAGUGGAGAUGAUGGGCGCCAGCUUAGCUUGGGAGACAGCGGGUCACAGUGCCCAGCCCACGCCCCGCGGCACCCCCUCGGUUGGCUCCACCCAGAGGCACGGGCGCCGGAGGCCCGCCCAGGAGGACGAGGCAGGGGAGCAGGCAGGGCGUCUGCUGAAGGUGGGAGAGAUCCCUCCCAUCCCCUCCGUCAGCCAGCGGCUGCAGAGGACCCUGCACUGUGUGGACCUCACCGUUCGGCAGGGGAAGCUGACUGGGAUCUGUGGAAGCGUGGGCAGUGGGAAGACCUCUCUGAUCUCUGCCAUCCUUGGACAGAUGACCCUGCUGGAGGGCAAGGUGGCGGUGAACGGGGACUUUGCCUAUGUGGCCCAGCAGGCCUGGAUCCUCAAUGCCACGCUCAGGGACAACAUCCUCUUUGGGAAAGAGUACGAGGAGGAAAGGUUCCAGGCUGUUCUGAGUGCAUGCUGUCUGAGACCUGACCUGGCUAUCCUGCCCAACGCCGAUCUGACUGAGAUCGGAGAGCGUGGCGCCAACCUUAGUGGCGGGCAACGCCAGCGGAUCAGCCUGGCGCGUGCCCUGUACAGUGACCGAGCCAUCUACAUCCUGGACGACCCGCUCAGUGCACUGGAUGCCCACGUGGGCAACCACAUCUUCAACAACGCCAUCAAGAAGCAGCUCCGCCACAAGACCAUCGUCUUCGUCACUCACCAGCUGCAGUACCUGGUGGACUGCGAUGAUGUCAUCUUCAUGAGGGAGGGCAGCAUCACGGAGCAGGGCAGCCACGAGGAUCUGAUGCGUCUCAAUAGAGACUACGCAGCCAUGUUCAACAACCUACAGCUGGGAGAGACGCCCUUCGUGGAGGUGCCAACUAACAAGUCUGGGAACUCCUUAAAGAAACCCCCAGAGAACACAAAGUCUGGAUCUGUAAAGAAGGACAAGCCUGUUAGCAAAGACAACGGCCAGCUGAUGCAGGUGGAGGAGCGUGGGCGGGGCUCAGUUCCCUGGUCUGUGUACGGCGUCUACAUCCAGGCCUCGGGUGGAGCGCUGGCUUUCCUCCUAAUCCUGGCCCUCUUCGUCCUCAACGUGGGCAGCACGGCCUUCAGCAACUGGUGGCUCAGCUACUGGAUCAAGCAGGGCAGCGGGAAUACCACAGUGUUGGUGGGGAACAGUUCGGUGGUGAGCGAAAGCAUGAGGGACAACCCCCUGAUGCAGCACUACGCUGGAGUCUACGCCUCGUCUAUGGGUGUCAUGCUGCUGCUCAAACUUCUGCGCGGCAUCAUAUUUGUCAAGGGCACUUUACAAGCUUCGUCCAGGCUGCACGAGGAGCUCUUCAGGAAGAUUCUCCGCAGCCCCAUGAAGUUCUUUGACACCACGCCCACUGGACGGAUCCUCAACCGCUUCUCCAAAGACAUGGACGAGGUGGACACGCGGCUGCCGUUCCAGGCGGAGAUGUUCAUUCAGAACGUCAUCCUGGUCUUCUUCUGCCUGGGCGUGAUCGGCAGCAUCUUCCCCUGGUUCCUAGUGGCUGUGGGCCCCCUGGUGCUGCUCUUCACUGUGCUCCACAUGGUGUCGCGCGUGUUCAUCCGCGAGCUCAAGCGCCUGGAUAACGUCACCCAGUCGCCCUUCAUCUCGCACAUCACCUCCAGCAUCCAGGGCCUCUCCACCAUCCACGCCUACAACAGGGGCCACGAGUUCCUGGACAGGUAUCAGGAGCUCCUAGAUCAGAACCAGGCUCCCUUCUACCUGUUCAGCUGUGCCAUGCGCUGGCUGGCCGUGCGGCUGGACGUCAUCAGUGUGGCUCUGAUCAGCAUCACCGCGCUCAUGAUCGUCCUCAUGCAUGGCCAGAUCCCUCCGGCCUACGCCGGCCUGGCCAUCUCCUACGCCGUGCAGCUCACAGGGCUGUUCCAGUUCACAGUCAGACUAGCCUCUGAAACUGAGGCUCGCUUCACUUCUGUGGAGAGGAUUCAUCACUACAUUGAGUCUCUAGCGCUGGAGGCCCCGGCCCGCAUCAAGAACAAGGCGCCCCCGCCAGACUGGCCCCAGGAGGGCGAGGUGGUGUUUGACAAGACGGAGAUGAGGUACAGAGACAACUUGCCGCUUGUUCUCAAGAAGGUGUCCUGCACCAUCCGUCCCAAGGAGAAGAUUGGCAUAGUGGGCCGGACGGGCUCAGGGAAGUCUUCUCUGGGCGUAGCUCUGUUCCGUCUGGUGGAGCCCUGUGGCGGCUCCAUCAAGAUGGACGGCAUCAACAUCUGUGACAUCGGCCUGGCCGACCUCCGCAGCAAGCUGUCCAUUAUCCCUCAGGAGCCUGUGCUGUUCAGCGGCACAGUCAGGUCAAACCUGGACCCCUUUAAACAAUACGCCGAGGAGCUGAUCUGGGACGCUCUGGAGCGGACACACAUGAAGGAGUGUGUGAGUAUCCGGAACUCGGUUGUCCAGAGUGUCUCAGCUGCCCCUGAAGCUGGAGUCAGAGGUGGUGGAGAACGGAGAGAACUUCUCCAUGGGAGAGAGACAGCUGCUCUGUGUUGCUAGAGUCCUGCUCAGACAGUGCAAGGUCUUGAUCUUGGACGAGGCAACGGCAGCGAUGGACUCGGAGACGGAUUCUCUGAUCCAGGAGACAAUCCGCAAUGCCUUUCAGGACUGCACCACCCUGACCAUAGCCCACCGGCUGCACACCGUACUCAACUGUGACCGCAUCAUGGUGCUCAACCAGGGACAGGUGGUGGAGUUUGACGAGCCGUCCAACCUGCUGGCCAAUGAGAACUCUCGAUUCUGUUCCAUGCUGGCUGCCGUGGAGAACAAGAUCUCUGUGAAAGGCUAAAAUGGGUACAGAAGGCACAGAUGUGCCCUGGAGACGAGGAGAGGGGAGGACGCUCCCAAAGGGGUCCAGCCAUCUGACCUCUUCCUCUGCGUACCCACCCUGAGCUUACCGCUCAGCAUGUGGAGGAGUGCAGCAUCAGACCAUGGAAUUAGAAUUCUACGGUUGCACCAGGUCCUUGGUAUAAGGCAAGGGCUGCCCUGAGGAGAUGCUUGCUCAGAAGCCAUUUCAGCUGGAAUGGUCAGGGAACCACUGAUACUGUACUGUCUUUAGUAAUAUAUAAGAAAUAAAGCUUUACAUGUAGCUAUAUUCAUAGCAUAACUGGUCUGUUUUAUAGGAUAUAUCUAUAUAUACAUAUAUUUACAGUGGUAAAAUAUGCUUUAUUUUCUACUGACUCUAUGUACAACGUAGUUGUAUGAAAUGUAUUAUUGUAUAUUCACUCGUGUUUUACCAUCAUUGCUGUCUAACUUUGCUGUUUAUUUUUUUUUGCGGCUUGAAACAUCUGUAAUCCUUUCUCUUGUGACUUGAACCCACGAGCCCUUAAACCCUGGACCCUGGCACAAGUGGUGGAUCUGUGGGGCCUAGUGGGAUAUAAGACUCUAGGAGAGAAAUGGUGCUGCUUGUCCUCAGUGUUUUCACUGGGCAAUCAAAAGGACGUGCUUAAAGGUAGAGGGUAUCCCCCCCUUCUUAAAGGUAGAAAUAACCCUGCUUAAAGGUAGAGGGUAUCACCCCUUCUUAAAGGUAGAAAUAACCCUACUUAAAGGUAGAGGGUAUCACCCCUUCUUAAAGGUAGAAAUAACCCUGCUUAAAGGUAGAGGGUAUCACCCCUUCUUAAAGGCCUUGUAUGUCUGCAGCCUAGUCCCUCUCUUAACUCUCUUUCUUCUGACUUGUUAUUAUCAUGAUUAUUUUGACUGCUGUUAACUUCAGUUUGUUGUUACUGUUUGUCACAGCCCUUUUGCACUGAUGGUGAAGCUACAGGGGGUCGCCAUCUGCUGUUGGGGAGGUCCUGCGACUGUUCUACAUUAUUAUUAUUAUUAUUAUUAUUAUUAUUAUGGUGACAUAAAAGAUGCCUGUUGAGCACAAGGUCUUUGUGAUUUGAACAAGAUUUCAUUCUCUUUGCCCUGACCCAGUGAAUAUUUUAUGUGUGUGUUGUCAAUCUGCUCAUUGACACUGUUUGGACCAGAACCACACAGAUUAUAACACUCCUGCACUGGGUGUAGUAGGGAACCUCUAUCCUGUCUUUGCAGUAUUGAGGUGAUGCUCAUACUGUAACUACGAAUAACCUCGGCAAGCCUUGCAGAAUGUGUGUCGUUCUGUCAUUUCUAUUACUUUUUAUAGCCUUAGCAUGACUUCAUUAUUGCCUUGUUAACAGGGUAGGAUGAAGUGGAAAGGGAUCGCUUUGAAAUAUUCUGUCAAUAAAACUAUUUUAGCUUUA